rnacentral:piRNA from 1 species
UGCCACACACUAAUCCAUUUUCUGGGUC